UGCUUGUUUACCCUAAGGGUUCCAUCUUCACAGCCAACUUCCUUUCUCCUCCUUUUCGUUACUGUUGUUCGAACAUUGCAUUAGGAUGAAAAAAGAAGGCCGUAGCAAGGACCAACGGCUAAGUAGCAGCGACAGCGAUGUUCCUCUUGAUUCCUGAAACUGAAUCAGAAGUUCAGCAUGGAAACAAGUCCCUUAAGCCAUUCUCUAGAGUGAAGGACCCUCGUUCUUCCCCACCUUUCAUAGCAGGAGGGGAAACUGCAGAAUAAGCACAAUGUUAAUGAGUACAACCCACUUGCCAAACUUUCUGCUGCAACAGAACUUCCUCUGGUCCCAAGAGGGCACAGCCAUUUUAGUGGGACCAUAUAGCUGAAAAGAAAACAAUAUUCGCUUCACUUUGGACUGCUAAGAAAAAAUGAAUGAAUCCUAAAAUGCUUAUUGAAGUAAACUUUUUGUCUUCCCAUGUUGAUAUCUUCUUAUCUCUCAAUUUUGGAUAUAUUGAUGUGUGUCUUGUGGCUUUCUUACAAUUGGUAAGAUUCAUGUCUUCAAUGUCCUCUGUUAUGUUAUUUUGGGGAGAAUUGCACAAUUUUAUUAUAUAGUGCUAUUUUGAACAAGGUAUUUACAAAACACUUAUGUAUUUUUAUAUGCUGCCAUUCCUAAGAAUGCAAGACAUAACCUACUGAACUGUCUUAGCUAUACUGGAAAUCAGUAUUUAUUCAGUAACUUAAUUUCAGAGAGAGAUUUAUUUGCAUCUGCAGAAGGCUGGAGUGCUGAAGAACUACUCUCAUCGAAAUGUAAUGGCUGUAUUUCUGUGCCAUUCUGCAUCCUUCCUUGUGUUCUCACGUAUCUGUCUUGUUUUUGCUGUUAAACUAACAUUGUUAUGCAUGAUAUCUAUUCUGAACUGCUGAUGAGGCAGUUAUUGUGUGCCCACAGCCAGUAUGCACAUAGAUAGAGAACACUGAGUGGGCCAGUGAGUGAGGGCUGUGCCUGAUUACAGGUCUUCAGUAGAUGUCCUAUGUUACCUUAAUAGCUUUCAGGGAAUGCACCAUUUCUACAAUGGCAGUGCAGUGCAAGGUCCUCUAAGCUAUGGACCUUAGGGAUCAAUUAAUUCCAGUAUCUCAGGGACUGCAACUGAUGUAGUGCAGCAGAAGGGCAUGAUAAAUCCUAUUUGUGUCUGCCAAGAGCUUUGGGACCCUAUAGGAA
rnacentral:lncRNA from 1 species